GAAAAUACGUUCAAUAAUUUGGUAAAAAAGAACAGUCUACAAUUUAUGACUUGACAAUUUUAAUGCCAAGACAGUCCGAUAAAAAAAUCUAUGUGGGAAAAGUAACAGCACCUCAACUGUUAUCAACAGUACCAG